rnacentral:rRNA from 1 species
GAAAGUGCUGGUAAUACCCGAUGAUAUCUGCGAGUCACAUGGCUGGCAGAUCAAAAGGCGGGGAUCCUUCGGGACCUGUCGGUACGAGCUCGGCCCAUGUCCUAUCAGCUUGUUGGUGGGGUAAUGGCCUACCAAGGCGAUGACGGGUAGCCGGCGUGAGAGCGCGACCGGCCACAUCGGGACUGAGACACUGCCCGGACACCUACGGGUGGCUGCAGCAACGAAUAUUCCGCAAUGGGCGCAAGCCUGACGGAGCGACGCCGCGUGGAGGAUGAAGUCCCUCGGGAUGUAAACUCCAAUAGUUUGUCAGAAAGUAAACCGGGUGAAUAAUCCGGGGCGUUGAUCAGCAAACGAAAGGGGUGGCUAACUCCGUGCCAGCAGCCGCGGUAACACGGAGACCCCAAGCGUUGUUCGGAAUUACUGGGCUUAAAGAGGAUGUAGGCGGAAUGGCAAGUACCUUGUGAAAGCCCAGGGCUCAACCCUGGAAUUGCUGGGUAUACUGUCAUUCUUGAGGCAGGCAGGGGUUGCUGGAACCUUAGGUGGAGCGGUGAAAUGCGUAGAUAUCUAAGGGAACGCCUGUGGCGAAAGCGGGCAACUGGGCCUGUCCUGACGCUGAGAUCCGAAAGCGUAGGGAGCGAACGGGAUUAGAUACCCCGGUAGUCUACGCCGUAAACGAUGCGCACUAGGCUCGAGAGUUGCUGACAAUUUUCGAGCCGAAACAAAAGCGAUAAGUGCGCCGCCUGGGGAGUACGGCCGCAAGGCUAAAACUCAAAGGAAUUGACGGGGGCUCACACAAGCGGUGGAGCAUGUGGAUCAAUUCGAAGCAACGCGAAGAACCUUACCUGGGUUUGACAUGUACGGAUGCUGCUCUGGAAACAGAGUUAGUUGCCUUCGGGUGAAACGUACACAGGUGCUGCAUGGCUGUCGUCAGCUCGUGCUGUGAAGUGUCGGGUUAAGUCCCUUAACGAGCGAAACCCCUGUCGCUAGUUGCCAACGGGUCAUGCCGGGAACUCUAGCGAGACUGCCGGCGUUAAGCCGGAGGAAGGUGGGGAUGACGUCAAGUCAUCAUGGCCUUUAUGUCCAGGGUNGUCACACGUGCUACAAUGGGGUGUACAGAGCGACGCGAGACCGCGAGGUGGAGCAAAUCGCAGAAAGCACCCCCCAGUUCGGAUUGGGGUCUGCAAUUCGACCCCAUGAAGUUGGAAUCGCUAGUAAUCGCGCAUCAGCCAUGGCGCGGUGAAUGUGUUCCUG